rnacentral:tRNA from 1 species
GUGGUUGUGGCUCAGUGUAGAGUGCUCACUUAGUACAUGUGAGGCACUGGGUUCGAUCCUCAGCACCACA